rnacentral:lncRNA from 1 species
AAAGCUCACCUCUAAGCAAGUCAGCCUGGGCUUCCUGCAGUGUGCAGCAAUCUCAUCUUCACACAGAGAAAGGAUGAAGGGGUGCCUCGUCUAGACAGACAUUUUUAAAUCAGUCAGGAAGACACAUUUGUUACCAUUUGAGCAUUUUUCAAUAUUCUGAUGUGGGUGUGCUUAAGAGGUCUUGAUGUCAACUCAGACAUCUUGGAAUUUAGAAAAAGCCUUCAGAUUUAUUUAAUGAUAUUCAUAAAUUUUGCUCUGUAUCUGAGUGUCAAAUUCCUAUACAGAACUUGAAAAGCUCUCUUAGAUAAGUGUUGGCCUUUUUUCUUUUUUCCAAACUGCCUCUGGAGGAAUUAGGAAACAGAAUAGAUGUUCUAUAGUCAGCAACUCUAUUGCAUUAUUCUUUUGAAAGAGUGAACUUGAGACUUAUUAUAUAACCAGUGUUUUAAACAAAAUUACAGAGUAUCCUGAAUUGCUUAAGCUCCAUCUCUAAUUUAACAGUGAACAUAUUUAAAUGAAGAUGAGCUAAAGGGUUUGGUAGUCAUGGCAACAUGAUAUGAAAAUAUACCACGUCAUUCAAGUCUAUUAGAAAAAAACAUUUUCAUUGCAAAGGUUUUUGUUGCUACUUUAAAUACUGACUGUAGAAGAAAAAAGAAAAGAAGAUGAAAGAAUAGAUGAGCCAUGAAAUAUUUUAAUUUUUUUGUUACAAGAAUGGUAGCUUGAAAAUAAUGUGAUCUAAAUUCUAAAUAAAUUUAGCUGCAAAGUUGAUAUUAAAAAUAAAGACUAUGAGAAAAUAAACAGAUAUCAAAUCUGCUGCUUGACAAAAAUGUAUUAAAUCUACUUCCUGCAGGUAAGCUUUUAGAAGGGAAAAG